UCAAGUCGGUUUAAAGUCAUUACAAUAUAACAGCUGUCAAAAAUGUUGUUAGACCACACAAUUUGUACCACAACUCUAACUCUUUAAGUUUGUAUCAGGUUUGGCCCUGAAAAAUCCCACUGUGCUUUCCUGCAAACUAUUACUUACACUCCAUUACUUGGCUCAGACACUAAGAAAUGACCAGGUGGUGCUACAGAGGAUUGGUUGGAUUCUCUCAUAAUAAGAGGAUGGUUAUUGUAUUGAUUUAUAACAGAAAAUGCAAAGAAAGAGGGAAGGCAAAAAGCAGAAAGAAUAAUGAAACAACACCUUUUCUUAAUUUUUACUUUGCCUUUAAGUGACACUUUGUGGUUGCUUGAUGGCCCGACACCAUCAAGAGUCACCGCCAUAGACUGGUGACCCGACUUUAUCAUGAACUGCACUGUUCUCCUCCCUCAGCAAUAGAGAGAUUGUUUUUGAGAAUUCCUGCAGAGUCUUCCAGGAUCCUCACGUCUGCUCCAAAACAUUUUUGACAUCGAUGGACACGCCGCCACGAGGGAUUUAAGAACCUUGCUGCAGAAUAAAUGCCCACAUCUUUGUGCACAAACAGCCUACAUGUGUAUCCAGGAGUGUGUAAACCAGAAAGCUGGGCCCACAGCUGUUAUUUUGUUCCCCUCCAGUCGCCCAUGUAACUCAUUCUGACCAGUGUUUCAUCCUGUUUGUUUUUAGAGUAUUCCGAAUUGGGUAGAUAUGCUAUAUGUGCUUGUGUGAACUGGGUUGUGUUUGUACAAGUGUGUCAGUUUUGGAUGAGUAUGGAAUAGAUGCUGCAGCGAUAAAGAGAACGAGAACGCCUCACAUUUUUCUGAUCUUAGAUAGUGUUUCCAUGUACAGCA